rnacentral:misc_RNA from 1 species
UGAAGAACGUAGCGAAAUGCGAUAAGUAAUGUGAAUUGCAGAAUUCAGUGAAUCAUCGAAUCUUUGAACGCACAUUGCGCCCUUUGGCAUUCCGAAGGGCACACCUGUCCGAGCGCCGUCGCACAACUGAGGCGCAGCCUUGCGUUGGCGGGCGACUUGUGAGUAGCGAGUCGCCGCCCAAACGAGACGGCGCCGCGCCGCGGCCGACGAAGCACGAAAGCGGAAGUCGACGCGGAGGCGGUUGCCUGUAGGAAGACACAGCUUGGCCUCGGAUCAGGUGGGGAUACCCGCUGAACUUAAGCAUAUCAAUAAGCGGAGGA